rnacentral:lncRNA from 1 species
CUGGUUGUUGCUAUUGCUACUGUGUUUGCUACUACUAGAGACUGUGCACUGUCUUCAUCAGUAUUUUCAUCUAUUGCAUUAAAGCAACGAGUUGUUGUGCGUCUGUUGUAACAACCGGAUGCGAAGAACUGAGCUUUGCCAUUAAAGGUAGAGGUGGAAGAUCUUUUCGAUAGAAAGAUUGCCUGGCGGAGUCGAUGGAAUUGUUCUGGGCUCUUGUCUUUGUCAUGACUAGAUUCUCCUCAUGCCCUG